UUUUCAUCAGACAAUCUGUGUGAGCACUGCAAAGUACGCUUCUUUAAGGUAAGGAGGUGAUCCAACCGCAGGUUCCCCUACGGUUACCUUGUUACGACUUCACCCCAGUCAUGAAUCACAAAGUGGUAAGCGCCCUCCCGAAGGUUAAGCUACCUACUUCUUUUGCAACCCACUCCCAUGGUGUGACGGGCGGUGUGUACAAGGCCCGGGAACGUAUUCACCGUGGCAUUCUGAUCCACGAUUACUAGCGAUUCCGACUUCAUGGAGUCGAGUUGCAGACUCCAAUCCGGACUACGACGCACUUUAUGAGGUCCGCUUGCUCUCGCGAGGUCGCUUCUCUUUGUAUGCGCCAUUGUAGCACGUGUGUAGCCCUGGUCGUAAGGGCCAUGAUGACUUGACGUCAUCCCCACCUUCCUCCAGUUUAUCACUGGCAGUCUCCUUUGAGUUCCCGGCCGGACCGCUGGCAACAAAGGAUAAGGGUUGCGCUCGUUGCGGGACUUAACCCAACAUUUCACAACACGAGCUGACGACAGCCAUGCAGCACCUGUCUCACGGUUCCCGAAGGCACAUUCUCAUCUCUGAAAACUUCCGUGGAUGUCAAGACCAGGUAAGGUUCUUCGCGUUGCAUCGAAUUAAACCACAUGCUCCACCGCUUGUGCGGGCCCCCGUCAAUUCAUUUGAGUUUUAACCUUGCGGCCGUACUCCCCAGGCGGUCUACUUAACGCGUUAGCUCCGGAAGCCACGCCUCAAGGGCACAACCUCCAAGUAGACAUCGUUUACGGCGUGGACUACCAGGGUAUCUAAUCCUGUUUGCUCCCCACGCUUUCGCACCUGAGCGUCAGUCUUUGUCCAGGGGGCCGCCUUCGCCACCGGUAUUCCUCCAGAUCUCUACGCAUUUCNNNNNNNNNNNNNNNNNNNNCCCCCCUCUACAAGACUCAAGCCUGCCAGUUUCGAAUGCAGUUCCCAGGUUGAGCCCGGGGAUUUCACAUCCGACUUGACAGACCGCCUGCGUGCGCUUUACGCCCAGUAAUUCCGAUUAACGCUUGCACCCUCCGUAUUACCGCGGCUGCUGGCACGGAGUUAGCCGGUGCUUCUUCUGCGGGUAACGUCAAUUGCUGCGGUUAUUAACCACAACACCUUCCUCCCCGCUGAAAGUACUUUACAACCCGAAGGCCUUCUUCAUACACGCGGCAUGGCUGCAUCAGGCUUGCGCCCAUUGUGCAAUAUUCCCCACUGCUGCCUCCCGUAGGAGUCUGGACCGUGUCUCAGUUCCAGUGUGGCUGGUCAUCCUCUCAGACCAGCUAGGGAUCGUCGCCUUGGUGAGCCGUUACCUCACCAACAAGCUAAUCCCAUCUGGGCACAUCUGAUGGCAAGAGGCCCGAAGGUCCCCCUCUUU
rnacentral:rRNA from 1 species